rnacentral:rRNA from 1 species
UACGGAGGGUGCAAGCGUUAUCCGGAUUCACUGGGUUUAAAGGGUGCGUAGGAGGGCAGGUAAGUCAGUGGUGAAAUCUCCGAGCUUAACUCGGAAACUGCCGUUGAUACUAUCUGUCUUGAAUACUGUGGAGGUGAGCGGAAUAUGUCAUGUAGCGGUGAAAUGCUUAGAUAUGACAUAGAACACCAAUUGCGAAGGCAGCUCACUACACGAGCAUUGACUCUGAGGCACGAAAGCGUGGGGAUCAAACAGG